UUUCAGUGGCUGGGAUUAGCAGAAACCAAAGGGCAGAGAAUAAGACACUAGAGAAUGCUCAACUGUACAGGGAACAUCUCUACUGCAUCCCUCCCCCCACACGACUCAGGAAUCAUUGCAGAAGAAGAGAUGAAAAGACCGUAAGGGCCAGAGACAGUAAAUAAAUACAUGAAAGCACGGUCUUUGGGACACAGCCAGGCAGCUGCACCCAUGGGCUCAUGGCAGUUGUGACGGUGUGCACAGGGGCUCUUUGAGCUCAAAUUCCAGCAAGAAAAGGGAGCGUGGACACCAAGUCUCACCCAGCCAGCAGCUAUAGCUAUAUAGCUAUAUAGCCAGUUGGUAGCUGUUGGAAGAGGGAAGAGUUAUCUUUAAUGGUGUGGCCCUGGUGAGUCAGCCAUACUCCAGUGGAAAGUCAUGCAUCCCACAAUACAUGGGUAGCACAAACUGGACUCGGUGGAUGCAGAAUGAGGCCACAAAGUUGGAUGGGUAAGGGUGAUCUGGGAGGAGUCAGGGGAAGGAGGAAUAUGGGCAAAAAUCAAUGUAUGAAAGUCUCAAAGAUCUCAUUUUUAAAAACUACAUAUAAGUCAGUUACACAAACAUUAGGUAGGAUAACUUACGCUUUAUUUAUUUAUUUAUUUAUUUAUUUAUUUAUUAUUUAGUUAUUUGGCUUUUUUGAGAUAGGGUUUCUCUGUGUAUUUCUGGGUGUCCUGAAACUCACUCUGUAGACCACACUACACUGACCUUGAACUCACGGAGAUCCAUCUGCCUCUGACUCCUGAGAGUUGAGAUCAGAGGUAUGUGCCACCACCGCCUAGCUAGCUAAGGCUGUUUUUACAGCAGAGAUGGGGAACAGAGGGUAUAGCAAUUGCCAAGCAGAGUGCACGGAAGCUAAGACCCAAGGCAAGGAAAGGGACCUGAAAAAUCUGGGGGGAGAAGGGCAAAGGGGCAUCUUGCCUUUGUGCUGCACAGAAGGAGCACACCCAUGAAGGGAACUGGGUGUGGCUGCAGAGGACAGAGCGGGUGGCAAGGAGGCAGGGUGGGAGGCGCUAGGCUCUGUCCUAAGAGCUCAGUUUAGAGCCGGAGGCCCUCAGCCAAGCCACGAACUCAGAGUUCAGCAUGAGUUUCGGGACUCGCUCCCGGUCUGCACAUACACGUUCACAGUGCCAUCAUUCAGAAGGAACCCAAGGGUCCACUUAUGGACAAACCAACAGAUAAAACCUGUAGGAUGCUUAAAAAGAGUGAAACAGUGACACCGGCUCCGGUACAGAUUGAACCCUGAGAGCAUGAUGCCAGGUGAAGGAGCCGGUCACAAGUGGACAUGCGCUGUGUGGUUCACGCAAGAGAACUGGACAUGCGCCAUGCGGCUCGCACGUACGCAUUUCCACGGCAACCAGAGUCAUAGCGCUAAAGCAGGGUAGGCCCAGGGGCUGGCAGGGGCGGGGGUGCUGGGUGUGCACUGCAGAGUUUUGGAAAAUGAAAGGCAUUUGGAGAGGGAUGACAAUGAUGGUGGAUGCAUGGCAAGGUGACUGCACCUUCUGCCCCUGGACGGGCUAGCUCGUGGUCAUGUACAUGGAAAAUGUCCUCACAUUUAGAUGUGGCCAUCCAAUGUUCGGUAGAACAGGGAUAACAUGCGUGUAGUGGUCAGCAUGCUGCCCUGCUGGUCAAAGGUCCUCAACAGAAAUCACUAGAAGCUGAAGGACUACAUCAUCCCUCACAUAUUCUACACUAACCAAAGCUCGCCCAAGGGAAUCGUGUGUCCAACAGCAGCAGGCCAGAGUCCCUCCUACCCUAGCUGCCCUGUGCCGCCCGGAUGACCAACCCUCUAGGGAGAGCAUGCCCUACUGCGCUCCUCUCAGCCAGCUCUCCAUAAAGAGCCAUGGCCUGGAUGCUGGACUUCACCCACCAGGCAAACGAAAAGGAAUAUAAGACCGUAAGCCUGCAUGAAAUUGCCCAAGCACAUAUAUAAGGCUAAUGCCACUGCUAUAUUAAAAUACUAAAUUCAUUUUUAUACUUUUUUAUUUAAAUUGCUGGGGCCACUUGCCAUGGUUGAUUAAAAAUUCUGAACAGGGUGUAUUGUGUGAGCCAAUUAUGAAAGAGUGUAUAAGUGCUGUGAACAUUACUUGGAAAGUACAGGAAACCAUUUGUAAAAUGAAAAUUCUUCCUUUAAAAAAAAAAAUCUGUUUAAAAGGUGAGAAAAACCGGGCCUGGUGGCAACUGCUUCUAAUCUCGGCCUUCAGGAGGCAGAAGUGGUAGGGUCAAGGGAGGAGCCGGAGGUGAAGGUCAUCCUUAGCUAUAAAACUAGUUCAAGGGCAGCCUGGGCUACGGGAGCCCAUGACAAAGUUAAUUUAAUUAAAGAACAAAAAAAGAGACGCAAUGGAGGCAGAGGCAGAGGCAGAGGCAGAGGCAGGGGCAGGGGCAGAGGCAGAGGCAGAGGCAGAGGCAGAGGCAGAGGCAGAGGCAGAGGCAGAGGCAGAGGCAGAGGCAGAGGCAGAGGCAGAGGCAGAGGCAGAGGCAGAGGCAGAGGCAGAGGCAGAGGCAGAGGCAGAGGCAGAGGCAGAGGCAGAGGCAGGAGGCAGAGGGGGUUUGCUCUGAGCCUGUGCAGGCACCAAGAGUGGCAGCCUAGUGGGCGUGGCUUCCCCAGGCUGGCUGCACAAUCCUAGCCCACCAAGCUGGGCCCAGGCCAAGGUUUGUUUUCCAUCCUGAACUUGUUUCUCCUCAUCCUGGAGCUCGUCCAUGCCUGAACUUAUGAGAAUCCUGUCGUGCAGAUUCUGUUCUGGCUUUGAGAGGGAAGCCAACGCACUUUGGCUCUGCAGCUAUCCCUGAGCUGGAGGAGCUAGCUCCCAGUCCAGAGGAGACAUUGAUUCAUGCACUCAGCCAGACAUCGGAUGGACUAGCAGACAAGCUACCAGCCCGGCUGGAUCUCACACUGAGGCAGGGGGAUAGCGAAGCACAAACGCUUUGGGAGAAAACAGUCAUUGUGAAAGCAAAUCCCCAUGCUAUGAACAUGCUGGAUGUCCUUUCUAGCUUUGGCAUAUGGAGAAAACUUCCACGAGGUGGGACCUGGGCAGAAAGGAGGACUCGCACGAUCUGUCUGACAACUCGGAUCGAAAGGCACCUGAGCCCAUGGAGAAGGGAGCUCUUGUCUGUCACUGGGAAUCAAGCUGAAAGGGGCCCUGAGGUUGGAGACAAGGAGACAAGGAAACAGGCUUCCGGCAGACAUGUUAGAGCUCCUUCCUGGAUGCCAGCAGGCAGCACAGAGUCCCGAGCACCGAGCCUGCGGGGCUGCCAGCAGCUCCAAGGCCUGUCUACACAUCACCAUGGCGAUUCCCUUCCUUGGGAAACAACUACGUUUGUUUUCUUUUCCAUAUUUUGGACGGAGGCCAUUUGAUAAUUACAAAAUGUACAACCCAUAAUGUGUCCUAAACUGUCUCUGAAUAGUAUGUGGUUUUGAAAUAAUACAUAAAAAGCUUAAUAAAAAUUAAUGUGGAAAAGAGACUCAUCAGCCUCAGCUGGAAAUAAAAUCAGUAUUAAUUACUUUGCCCGCAGUCACUCUGAUGAGCUAGAGAUGGCAAGACCGUUUCCCCCAUGUAGGAAGGGGAUGUGGAGCUAUCCCUGCCCCUCUGCCUCUCGAGCCCCCAAGGUCUCAUCAGCACAGUCCUGUGUAUCAUGGUACCUCUGUAAGGUUCGCUAUGCAUGUCUGUAUUGGGUUCCAGGGAAAGAACUGUAUGAGGGUGGAGCUUGACAUGGAACACGUGACUAUGAGGGCGGAGCUUGAUAUCAGGACACACCUCUAUCUGCUGGAGUAUCCUUGAGAGGUUCAUAUUCUCGGACCUAGCAGUCCCCAGGAGCUAGCCGGAACCCCAAACCUUGCUUGAGCACAGAACUGUAGAGCAUCAAAGCAGCAGGUGACAAAUCCCCCACCAUCCGUGACCACAGCCCUGUUAUGUGUCCGGGUAGCUCAGCCAGGAAGCGUGAAGCCUGAGUUCUGGCUAGUCCACACCCCAGAAAGCCACAAACCAAGAACGCAGAUGGGCUGCUGGGUGCCAUGGAGACCUUCACAGCCAUUUGUCAAGGCUGGGGUUCAGGGACUCCUGCCCCUGCCCCACUGCAGCGGGGGGGGGGGGGGAGGGGCUGGACUGCUCCUGCUAUGAUGCCCCCAAGCUUCCAGUACCUGCACUCCAGUGAACUUCCUUAAACAGCCCACCCACCCAGCAGCCUGUCCUCCAGAGGAGAUGGGGUCCCUCCUCCCACAAACUACACACGGGGGAGGGGCAUACAGGAGCUGGCCUUCAGUCUCAGAACUCCUGACAUCCUUGAGGAUAUUUUAUUGACAAAACCACACGGUUGGCCUGUCUCUCCCUUUUGUUAUCCCUUAGAACUUUGCUGUGUUCCUGUGAGGUCCGUUAAUGAUGAGGUGUAAGUAACAAAGUGGACUCCAGGGUCUGGCUUCUAGCUCAGUCGCUUCCGGAAGCCUCUGCACAACAGAUCACCUGUCUUGUGGGAUUAAAGGAGACAACCGAUUUAGAUGAUUCACCCAAGAGCCAAGUACAGGAUAAAUGGCAAUGUACAUUACUAAGUGAGAUGAGAUAGUACUGAUUAUGGUGAUGAUGCUGGACAUAAAGACGAUGGAGAUGAGGAUGGAGACAGAGAUGAUGGUGAUGACAGUGAUGGUAAUGGUGAUGAUGAUGAUGAUGGAAGCAGAGAUGAUGGUGAUGGUGACAAUGGUGAUGACGGUGACAAGGAUGUUGAUGGUGGAGAGGAUAAUGUCGAUGACAUCAGUGACUGACAGGGACCCGAUGACAGCAGUACUAUGGGGUACCAUGACAGCAACAAUGACACUGGUAUACAGGUAAAGCUAUGGUGGUGAUGACGGCAGUGACUGUGAUGAGUGAGAUGAAGAUGGCAACCGUGACAACAGUCAUGAUGAUGAAGACGAUGGUAACACUGAUGCUUAUGAAGACCAUGGGAUGCGCUCUCUGGCUUUUAGGCAAAGUGCGAUCCAGAUGACCAAACACUUGAGGGCUCAGAGCUCUGCUCAUGCCCAAAUCUGCAAACCUGAGCUCAGCUUCCUCCCUCAGUCAGGUCCUGCAGGCUCAGCAGAUGCAAUCUUGAAUCCUUAUUCAUCAAAGAGAAGGGGGGGGGGGGAGUCCCUCCCUGCACUGGCUCACAUCCACUGACACCUCUCUCCAGUCACCCCAUCCACAGGCUUCCACUGCUGACUGGCCACCACUACUGCUGCCAGCCCCAUCAGAAAGGUCCUACGCCAUCCCUGUCCUAGAGUCCUAACUGCACCAUCCCCGUCCUGAAACCCUAUCUGCCGUGCCAGCUGUUUGUAUCCCGCUUUUGGUGGGAUUCCAUCCCUUUGGACUAAAUACCACCACACACAAAACGCUGUGUAGCUUCUCUGGAUAAGAAGAGAGACCAUGGGAGAGCUGCCAUCAUAGACACUGCUUAUUAUCUGGGUUAUUUUUGUUGCAGCCAACACAACCUAGGCAUAAACAAACAGCAUAGAGUCCCAGGAGCCAAGCUGGAAUCCCCACAGGCAUCACUUCGAGCAAUCUGAUGUGCUGCAUGCAAGACACAGUGCAGAACGCCACUGCUCAGCCUAGAGUUCCAGUGAGGAGGGGCAGGGUCUGGGAAGCUGUGUCUCCACCCGCCCAUCACUUCAGUGUUAAACUUCCAACAGCCAGAGUUCAUGACAACAGGAAUCUCAGAUCCAAGUCUCCUUGCACUGAGAUCCUAAGCCCAUCCUUCCGAGCCGAGAGAGUCCAGCUAGGGCUCGCUCAGCCUCCCUCCAUCCUUGGAUGGUGCUGUUGGCUAUUCUCACACCCAAGCAUCUAGUGUUAGCCUUCAUUUCACACUCCAGGAAGGGGGAGGGGGGCGGACCCACUCAUAUCUGGCUCAGAAAGGCCUUGGAAAAGUUUACUUUUUUGUAAAUGUUUUCUUUACCAAAGCCAAAUCCCAGAGCCGAUGUGAUGUGCGGUGGAUUAGACAAUUAAAGCAGGCGCACAGAAUACAAAUCUGAGUUUGUUCAGCUGGGUCGAGAGGAUCUCGCCAUUUCCUUCCUCCCCCAAGUCAAUUUGCUCAGAGAGCGGCCUUCUCUCCAGAUAAGCACAUUGACUUUAAAAUAACGUGCGUGCCAACAGCUGCAGCGCUACGAGAGAGCAGACAGAGCCAUGGCAGCGAAUGAUAAUUAAAUAUAUUUUCAUCAUCCGUCAUUUCUUCUUCUUCUUUUUUUUUUUUUCUGCAGGUGCCAGGGUAAUAAAUCUAAACUCGCCUCUUUUGUCAGCUGGCAGUGAACACAUUUUAACUUGAGAUCUCUUGGGAGGAAUUAAGAGUCACUUGGCCUUGUAAAGGAGAAAGGGUUUUUACUUCCAAACUGCCAAGUGGGGAGCUCACAGCUGAUUGGCUUCAUGAUACUUUAUUAUUUGACAAUAUAUACGCGUCAGGUUGUAUUUCAGAAUACCACACCUACAGGAUAACCAGGGCUCCAAGAGAUCCAUCAUCGGAUUCUAGAAUAAAAACCUAUUUGAGAAGAUUUUCACCACUAUUUCUUUUUAUGAAUCCUAGAUUUAAUGUAUUAUUGACUUAGGUUUAUUCCAAUAUUUUAGAACUUUUUCAGCAUUCUUCAAAUCCCCCCACAGCCCUUUUUCUCCUUGUAGCACUUCACAGGCAAAGCUGGUGCUGCGCCGCCUGCAGCCCGAGUUAAGUGUUUUCGAUUGGCCCGAGGAGUUUGGUUGACUUUUUAUUUUGACAGUUUAACGGCUCCUGCUCCCCAGGGGCAGCCUCACGUUCCUUAGUUUGCAGCCUGAUGGAACUGCACCCCAGCCUCUCUGCCUUUCUUCCCUCUCGCAGCAGCAGCAGACAGGAAACCCUCGCCUUGUCCUCCAUCUAUGAAUCCUCAAACACUAACGCCUAAGGCUGGUGACAAGGGACAGGUGAAGAAGAGGAAGGCUUUGAAUAGGCUUCCUUGGCGGGGAAGAAACGACUUUACUAAGCUAAGAAGACCAAGGACCUUGAACGAUGGUGGGUCCCACAGCCAUUCCACACAGUGGGGUGCUACCUGACACAGUUCCAAAGGAGACACUAGGGAGAGCACAGCAUUAGGGGCUCCCCCAUCAAAGCCCCCGCAAGCUUUGAUUCAGAAGCUGAGAAGCCAAUUCGGGAGGCCAUGUGGAUAUGAAGAGGUCUCGGAAGAGCUGAGAGAACUGGAAGGUAGGUGAGAGUGGGGACAGCCUUUUGUCAAAGGAUCCAACGCCGUUAAAAGUGUCAGGACAGUGUAGUAUUGGCUUAAAAAUAGACAAGCAGAUCAAUGGAAUAGAUCCAGAAAUAAACCCUCACAGAUAGGGACAGAUCGCUCUUCACAAAAGAGCAAACUGUGGUGCCCCGUGGGCCUCCUCCCAGUUAACUAGCAGGAUGCUGAGGUAACCCGAUGCUUCAAUGAGAAAGACUGAACCCACCCACUCCUUACGUGUGUGGGAGGGGGGAACGCCUCACCCACUCCUCACGUGGGGGGGAACGCUCCACCCACUUCUCACUUGGGGGGCGGGGGAGAAAGGCCCCACCCACUCCUCACACAGGUAAGAAAGAAAUCCACGGACAACAAAUAAAGUCAACGCGUGAGAUGGCUCACUUGCACCUGCUGCCAAGGCUGACUGGCCUGAGUCUGAUCCCCAGGACUCAAGUGGUUGUCCUCUGAAUUCCAGAUAUAUGCUGUGGUGUGCACUUGCACGUGCGCGUGUGCGCGCACACACACACACAAAUAAAUAAAUGUAAUAAAAGAUAAAAUUUGGAAGAAAUGUCAUUAAUAUAUUAUUAUAUAUUUUAAAAAUCAAAUUUAAAAGUUUUUUAAAAAAUAACAGAAAUACAAAACAAAAAUAAAAUUUGGGACGGGAGAGAUGACUCAGCGGUUAAGAGCACCAGCUACUCUUCCCGAGGACCCAGGUUAAAUUCCAAGCACCCACGUGGCAGCUCACAAACAUCUGUGACUCCCGUUUCGGGGGAUCCAUCCGGUGCCCUCUUCUGAUCACCACAGACACCAGGCACACUCAUCCUACAUAUACAUACAUGCAGGCAGAACACUCAGACAUGUAAAAAAGACAUUAAAGAACAAAGACAAGACAAAACCCCUCUAGUUGAGUGGUAGAGCACACACUUGACAGUCACCGAGCAAGAACGGAAACAACAGAGCACUCUGGAAACAUGGGAGAAUGGACACGACUCAAGAACAAUCCGUAUCAACGAGAAAGGCAGAAAUGAGCUUCCGUACUUAAAGGUACAGGGCUGUCAGGCUGGAAGGAAACUGGUAAGAAGACCCUGUGCUAUGACAGACUGACAGAGGGGAGUCUCUCAGAGUUCAGUGGCAAGAAAAGAAAAUCAGUUAUCUGUUUGGUUUUGAGAGAGGGUCUCACUGUUGUCCUGGCACUCACUAUGUAGACCACCAGGUCAGCCUUGAACUCACCACAGAGACAAUCCCAAGUGCUGGGGUACCACAUGUCGAUUAGGUCAGAUGAAGUCAAAAGGCUGACCACAUGAAGCAGUACAAUGUAGAGAAGCUGGACUCCUCACCUCAUGGUGGGUGGGAUGGUAAUUAGUAUGGCCACACUGGAAAACAAUGACAGUUUCUGCAUGGUUCAGCCAUUCUACCCCAUGCUGUUACCCACUGCCCCAACAAGGAGCUGGUUGUAAUAUUAACUAAUUUUAAUUGUCAUUUUGACAACAAUGACACACUCAGUAUCCAGUUCAGGUUGGUCUGUGAACGUGUCUAUGGGGAAUCAUCUUAAUAAUAUUACUUGAGGUAUGUAGAACUGCCCACUGUGGGCAAUACCGUUCCUUGGGCCUGCAGACAUGUCUUUUGGGAAUCAUCUUGAUAAUAUUACUUGAGGUAGGUAGAACUGCCCACUGUGUGCAGUACCAUUCCUUGGGCUGGGGAUCCUGGACUGUGUAUAAGUGAAGAAUGCAAGCUGUGCACUAGCGUGCAUGCAUAACAAGAAAACAUAUCCACACAAAGACAUCCAUGUGAACGCUCGUGGCAGCAUUAUUUGUAACUGUCCAAAACCUGAAAACAUUGUGACUAUCUGUCAGUAGGUUAACGGACAAACCCUCUCAGACCCGUAAGAUAGACCGCUACUCCACAGUAAGAAUCAAUGUGUUUCCUAUCAUGCUGGGAUGCAUCUCAGUCAUCACACUGAGUAAACAAAAGAACAGUACGCCAUUUGCUGCAUUUACAUAAAACCCUCAAAAUGGAGAGGUGGCCCAGCAGUGAGGGGCACUUGUUGCUCUUGCAGAGGACCUAGAAUUCAGUUCCAAGCACCCAUGUUGGGCAGCUUACAACCACCUACCAUUUCAGCUCCAGGGAAUCCUGCCUCCUCUUCUGGCUUCUGCCACUGCCUGCUUGCACAUGUGCACACACUUACAUGCAGAUGUGCAUAUAGACACACACUGUUAUGGUUUGUAUAUGUUUGGCCCAGGGAGUGGCACUGUUGAGAGGUGUGGUCUUGUUGGGGUAGGUGUGUCACUGAGGGUGUGGGCUUUAAUACCCUUCUCUUAGCUGCCUUGGAACCAGUAUCCUGCUAGUAGUCUUCAGAUGAAGAUUAGAGCUCUCAAGCCGCUCCUGUACCAUGCCUGCCUGGAUGCUGCCAUGUUCCCACCUUGAUGAACUUGUAAGCCAGCCCCAAUGAUGUUGUCCUUUAUAAGAGUUGCCUUGGUCAUGGUGUCUGUUCACAGCAGUAAAACCCUAACUAAGACAUACAAAAUAAAAAAAAAAAAUCUUAAGUUUUUAAAACUCUGUUAAUGUAAAAUGGUCUAUAAUGGCAAAAGGCAAACCCACAGCUGCCUAGAAGAGGGCAUGCCUGUAAGGUGGCACUGGCGCGCAUGGCUAGGGAGGGCAGGACAGCCUUCCUGUCUUGGUUCAUUGUUCGAAAUGCCCUGACUCACCACGUUGUCCAUUCUUGAUGCAGCUUAGUACCUGUCAAUCAAGCUCCAGGGAAGCUUUUGUGUUUAAGUGUGCAAUGAAAGCAUUGCCCUGUGGGGUUGUGUGAGGAGGCUCCAGUCGGCACAGGUGCCGCUUGCCCAGGAAGGGGGGGGUGGGUGGGUGGGAAAUGAGUUGUCAAAAGAAACAGGGAUUUGCCUGUCACUGCUGGUGAAAAAGUGUGUGCCCCAACUCAAAAGCACAUGCAUCCACUCACUCAUUCCUCCACCCACAGAUGACAGACGAGCCCUGAGGGGACAGAGACGGUUUCUCACCUGCCAGAAACCAGAGCAGGGGCUCUGCUGAUGUGUGCUGACUGCUCCGUGCCUUGGCCCCAAGCCUGCACAUCUGCAUGCAGGUGUGAGAGCACACAGCCACAGCCAGAUUGCCCAGCUGGCUGAACUGGAUUUGGGCAGAUGACACUUUGUACCUUAAUUUCUUCAGCUAAAAAAACAAAAAAACAAAAAAACAAAAAAACAAAAAAACAAACAAAACAAAAAAAAAAAAACGAGGAAACAGCAAUCCUGCCCCCACGGGGCUGUCACAAUCCAACCAAUUAACACCCGUGUGAUUCUCAGCACAGUGUCAGGCAUUCUUAGGACCUCGGUGUGUGCUACAUUUAACGCUUUAUGACUACAUCACCUGGAGGGACACAUGCUGGGAUGUGGCAAGGUCUUUGCUAGAGCAAGUGUCUCUAGUCUAUCUGAUUUAUAGUACUUUGUUUUCAUCAUUGAAGUCAAUGAGAGACCCACAUGUGCAAGUAGGCCAGCAAGCUCGGGAGCUACGGCACCCACUCCUGCAACACACACCAGCCCUGAACCAGUCUCUCCACUGCCAGUGAGGACUAUGACCCCAAACCAGAGAACAGAGACUGAACGCCCUGGCUUUGGGAUUUCAAAAGCAAAGACCCAGACAUGGAGCAGGGUGAGCCAGAGUGGUGAACAAGAGGCUACCUCCCUAGCUGCAAGCUUCAAAGAGGCUCAAGCACCAGCAUAGGGCCUGAGUCUGGAGGUCACUAAACCGGAACCCCAGAGGUUCACAUGUGACAACCAGUUUCCCAAGCCCCUAAGACGGAUGCAGACACAGCUGACAAGAGCUGGCAACCUUACCUCCUUACAGGGUGACAACCUUAUCUCCUUGUGUGGCUCACACCAACAAACCCACUAACUUUGGAUCAGGGUUAGGUACUGGAUAUUGAGCCUGGGGCCUUAACAUGCUCAAAGCACUCUGCCUUGAAGCUACAUAUCCAGCCCUCGGGGAAGAUUUCAGUUGGUUUAGAAAACAUAGAAUUAAACAAAGUAGUGUUUCUGUAGCUUGAUGAGAUGAGGGAGGGAUUGAUCUAGAAGUUAAAACAAGUUACAGAAAGAGAAGGACCUGUGUUUGUGUACCCAAGUUGUCCUGAUGUUUGUCCACCUAUAAACUUACUGUGACAGUUUGUCAAUAUCACAUCCUAGAAUUUCCAGGAAAGGGACUCUCAGUGAGAGACUGUGUAGUUCAAGUUGCCUGUGGACAUAUCUGUGGGAGAUUUUUUUGACUAUAUCAGUCGACAUGGGAAGCCCUGUCUACAGUGGGUGGCACCCUUCCCUAGACAUCCUUGACUAUAUAAGAAUGUGGUGGUUUGAAAAGGAACGGCCCCCAAAGGUUCAUAGUCUUGAAUUGGAGCAGUACUACUUGACAGGAUUUAGGAAAUGUGGUCUUGUUGGAGGAAGUACGUCACUGGUGGUGGUGGGGUGGAGGGAGGGUUAAAAUGCUCAAGUCAGGCCCAGCGUUGCUCUCUUCCUGUUGUGUGCAUUUGGAUAUAGAGCUCUCGGCUUCCUCUCCAGCACCGUGUCUGCUUGUGUGCUGCCAUGCUUCCUGUGAUAAUGAUAAUGAACUAAGCCUCUGAAUGAAGCUAGCCCUAAUUAAGUGUUUUGUUUUGGUUUUGGUUUUUUAUAUAAGAGUCACUGUCGUGGCCAUGGUGUCUUCACAACAAUAGAAUACUAAGAAAGAGAGUGAGCAGGUGAGCUGAGUAUCUAUGCAUUAAUGUAUUUAUGCAUUAACCCAUGGCUUCUGCUAGUGUGGAUGUGAUGUCACCAGGUGCUUCUAGCUCCUGCUGUCUUGACUUCUCAAUAAGUGACUUUCACCGAAGAACUCCCUUAGGGUGUUUUGGUCAAGGUAUUUUGUCAUAGCAACAGGAAACCUAGACAUUCAUGGCUGUCAACAGUAAAUAGCUAUGCCUCUGGAGCAUCAUGGCAUGCAGGGACCCUCAACACAGAUGGAGCGAGACUUGGACUCAGGAGGACAGAUGAGCGGACAGGUAAGGACACAGAGCAAGGGGAACGAGACUGGUGGUAUAAAGGCUCACAGGGGCAUCUGUGGGACCUGGAAGUAUUGAACGACCCACAAAGGCAUUUCCUCAGCUACAGCAAGAGAAAACAAGUUGAGUCUAAGACCUGGAUCCCAACCAGGGGCCAUGCCCUGUGAAGUCGCUGUGGUACAGAACGCUGGGGGAAUGUUGCCAAGUUGAUGCUAGAGAGACAAAUGCCCCCAGAUCCUCACCAAUGACCUCUGGCAUUUGUGAGGUUUUUGUCCAUCCCCCCGAGGGACAGGGAGAGGGACAACUGGUUAUUUCUCUCAUGCUACAUUUAUUCUGCUGGAAGAGCUGCCCUUUACUCAAGCACUGUGUCCUUCCAACUUUCCUCUGAUCAGACAUUAGCGGUACCCAGGACCUGGAAUUCUUCUAAGUCUUACUUGGCAAAAUUGAAAGUCCUUCACCCUGAGUGCCAUCCAUCUGCACAAAGGACGCACUGCCGUGUAAAGCAUCACCCAUGGGGAGAGGUUCACUGACAGUGAGACCAAGGCUAAAUGACAAGAGAGGAAAGGUGUCUUCCACAGCCACGAGGAAGCCUGGUUCCAAGGGCAGGGAGGAGGAAACAGAGAAACUGGGUCUCCUCUCAACAGGGGGCCACAAUUUGAGGAAUGACUUGGAAAGCAAAUCUUGGGAAGUGUGUAUGUGUAUGGGGGGGUCUUUCACCAGAGAGGCUGAGAGCAGAGGACUUUGAGGGAGGAGAACAAGAAGGUGCAAAGGUCCCAAGGGGAAAGUGGACAAGCACAGACUGUAGAAGGCCAAUGCCGCAAGCCCUGGUGAGGGCCGCCUAUGGAAGGGGAGGUGUGGAAGGCAGAUGCGUGGGCAGGGAGAGGAAGGAAGGGCCGGCACACCUGCUUAACAGGAAGCACCCCUGCCCAUCCCAGAUCAGUCAACUCUACUGACAUAGGCACCUGCUGGAUGGGGGAUUGGCUCUGAUCCUUUCAGAAACCCCAUUUUGUAAACUGGGGGGCUGCAGAGCUCUUGACCCUUUGAAGCUGUGGCUUUUAAAACUUCAGGUGGAGGGCACACGCCCACAAAAACAGCAAAGGGGAUAUUCAGCUCUGCACGGAGCAGAGCACUGCAUUCCUGGAAAGGCCACAGCGCAGCCAUGGGCUUGAAGGCACUCUCCUCACAGGGAGGGUUCACUGGGCCACGUCCUGGAAGAACCUAUGUUCAAGUACCACCAGGAAUGUGGAGCUCACCUCCACCAAUGGCUAGAUAGUAAGGCUGAUGCUCAGCAGAAAAGAAAGAGGACGCACGGGCCACCUACCCCUUUCCUAUAGAUGGUGUGUGUGUGUGUGUGUGUGUGUGUGUGUGUGUGUGUGUGUGUGUAUGUGUGUGUGUGUGUGUGUGGUUGCCUAGACCUGUCUAUCUCUUCUGCAAACCUUUCCAAUGGGUACCCGGGAUGCAAAGCCUGAGGGAUGGGAAUAGUCUUCUCAGUUGACCAAGGGCUGCCCCCCAAGUCUCUAGAACUUUGUUCCCUAAAUGUUCCAAGGCAUCUUAUACACAGGGGACCCACAGGGCAUAUUAAACCCCUGGGGGUGGGGGAGGGAUGCAACCCUCAGUAGUACCUGGGGCCCAUCGGCUCGCCCAGGAUGGAUCAUCUUCACCACUGGCCAUUCUUUGGAUGGCCCUGUGAGGAUGCCAUGCCUACGUUCUUGGGGUUUGCUGAGAUAAAAGGCAAGGGCCUCAACAACAACAACAACAACAAGAGAAAAACAACAAGAAACAAACAAACAACAACAGAACAGCAUUUGAAACAGGGAAUGAGGGUGAAGAGAUCCAAUGUGACCCAGGGUUUGCGAGUUCACAAAUAUUUGAAGGGUAUGCAGCCCACCAUGGCGAUAUGGUCACAAAGGACAUCUUAGAAAGCAGGUAUGUCGUCAAGUGGCUACUAAGCAUGUUCACCAUGGACACACUGAGGACUCUGGGUCUAAACUACAUAGAUACUGUUAGGUAGUUAAGUCUAAGGAUAUCAUUUAAAAUUUAAUCACAGAAAGACUUAGGGGCCAACAACCCAGGUACUUCUGAUCUGGGAGAAAAUGAGCUCAACUCUCCUCAAGACAUACUCCAUCCCAAAGUGAGAGUGGGGGCUAGAUGAUUAUACUGGGAGCAUCACACAGGAUGGCCAGAUACAGUCUUGAACCAGUGACUGAAGGACUUACUUCACCCUCCCACCAGCCAAUGAAGGACUUAUUUCACCCUCCCACAAGCCCAUGAAGGACUUAUUUCACCCUCCCACUAGCCCAUCAAGGACUUAUUUCACCCUCCCACCAGCCCAUGAAGGACUUAUUUCACCCUCCCACCAGCCCUUUUGCCUUGAGUGCAGACUGUUCUGGCACAAUUAGUAGUUUCUUAGUAGUCAGCAUGCUUCUCCUGUGGGCAUAGUGGGAGGCAAGACAGCUACAAGUAUUGGAACCACCCACUACCCCUAGUGGGAAGAUGAGCUGCAGACCCCUGUGAUCAGGGGCUGCCAGAAGCUGAGAGCUCAUCUGGUCAGCAUGGAGUGUGUCUCUUUGGUAGAGAGCUCUAUAGCUGUGGGGCCUCCAUCUACAAGGUCUAACUGGGACCCAGUCUUGCCUCGCUGCAGUAGGGAUCUGGCAAGAACACAUACCAAACGGUCACCUUGAGGAACAGUCACAGCCACACUCUGCAUAAUGGCCCUGAAGUCAGGACUCCAGAAUGUACAGGCAGGACGUUCAAGACAGGAAGGAUGGCAGGGACUGUGGGGUAGCGAAGGCAUCGGGGAAAAGACAUGGGGUUGAGGCGGCUUCCAGGAGGUGAACAGUGGGAGGAGACUCAGAAAAAGCUCGCCCUGGUCCCAGGCUCUGGAAACUCCUUCCUCUAGACCUACUGGCCCAUGCUCAGCGGGCAGUGCUGGUCCAAGGGCAGGCCUCAGUCACUGGAACUGGACACUUAAUGCCUCACUAUUCAGAUGAAGCUGUCACGGUAUCAGCUGUGAAGGGCCCAGCCUGGCCUCGGCCUGACAUUUAUAGUCACAGUAUAAUCUCUUAUCAUAUCCAAGGCAACUACAACCAUGUCACAAGAAAAAAAAAAAUGCCUGGAGAAAUCGGACCAAGGGGCAGCUCAGGCUGCCAGAGUCCAUCAAAAUCGCUAUUUGCAAGAUUCUCCGCCAGCUCUACUCAAUGUGUUGCCACCCGAAGUGCUAAAUCCCCAGCGUAGUAAUAGAAAGAGUAUUCAUAGGCACUCUCGGCUUCCAGUAAGAUGUAGGAACUUAGCUCACAUCUUUGAAAGUAUAUAAAUAGCCUCAGCAAAGGAGCUGGGACGCGCUUCUUAGUAAAUACAGCUGACCCAUUUUCCAGUCUUCACCAGGAAUGGAGAGACUGUUACACGGAGAGUACAGGACAAUCUAAAUAUAUACUUCCUGCUCACAGGGCCAAGAGCAGAAAAGCAGAGUCGAUGCUCUGUGAGUAAGGGGGGAAAGCUAGGCAGGGGAGGGGUGGCUGUGGUCACCUCUGUAUGCACAGUCGCCAAGUGGAUGGAGCUGAACUCUAUCUAAUGCCUGCUUGGGGCAAAGCGGGCCACGUGGACCCUGGUCUCUGCAGGCCAUUCAUUCCUCAGGAUCACCUAGCCAGCCUCUCUCACAAGCCCCUCCUUGCCACUGAUUUUUUUGUUCAUUGGCCUCUCUGUGCCUUUGUCUCCCGUGGCUCUCCUUCAAAGCCAUGAUGGCUCCUCCUUUUGUCACCGCAGACUUAAGAACAGUGCUUGGCCGGGGACAGGCACACAGUAAAUAUCUAUCCGACGACUGAGUGGCCUGGCUUGUUACUGGCUCCAGGUAAGCUUCUGUUGGCUUGUCACCAACCAACCCAGGUGGCCCUUCAGUGUAGGGAGCUAUCGGCCGGCCUGGAGAGAGCGGAGCAUUUCCGAUGCAUUGCAUACCAUUCUUCUGGCAAGAGCUGUAAUAUUAAAUAAUUCACUAAACCCGGCAGACUUAGGGGAUUCAGAAGGAAAACUGCCCCAGUGAUUGCAUGGGAGGCAAGCAGGAGUGUGCCUGGCUUGGUCGCUACCCACAAAUGGAUGAGAGGAGCUGAGCAGCCAAUCGUACCCCUGCUCCCAAUUGUCUAACCAGAGAUGGCUGUCAUGUGCUGGCCAGAGCUACUGACAAGUCUGCCCUCCCAGGUCGCUGCAGAAAAGCAGCAGGUGAGCUGGAUGGGCCAAAUAGAGGGAAGGGCAUCUGGGCUGGUGAGCCAGGCUUUCCAAGGCUCGGUCUGAGGGACGGCAACAGCUGGGGAAACCUGGGUCAAAGAGCAGACAGACAGCAGUGAGGGCUGCCAACCGAGGCGAAGGAAGUAGCCAUGAGUGGUUCCCUCGGGGCCUGGCCAGGUGCUGCCUGCCAGAGGGGGCUAUCUUCCCUUCCCUGGGAAUCAGAACCAGAAAUCUCCAGCACAUGUCAGUCCUUAGCACUGAACAGCCAGCUCAUGUGGAGGAGAGGCUGAGAAAGGGCCUGUUCAGCCCUUCCUGCCUGCCUCAGGUCCCAUGUGACGUCAGCAGGUCACAUCCUGGAGAAACAGUCUUCUUUAAAGAAGGUGCUCUGUACAGGUUGAAGAGUGCUGCUUUACAGCAGCAAGUGCCUGCCAUCCUGGGAUUUUUUCAUCUGUUUCUGGAGUCUGCUCUUUUAUUGGUUAUUUCUCUAACUUGACUUUAAUUCAUAGUCUCCGUUAUGAUCAUAAAAGACUUUAAUUGAUACUUAUUUGAUGGAAUCUACCUUAUUCAUGAAAUUUAUUACUUCAUCCAAGUACAAGCAGGAACUAGAAAGUGGAGUUUGCUACGGUCGCCGUGAGCGCGCCGCGCCUACCAGAGGGAAGAGGGAGCCGCUCCAGCAGUGUCCUUCCUGGAACUCUUAGGAAAUGGGGGCAGGGCUCCAGGACUCCAGUGCUCCAAAUUAAAACCUAGCCUCCCAGGGGAGCCUCAGCCUUGGCCUACUGGUUGCAAACAUAGGAUGGUUUUAAAACAAGUCUGCCCAGCCUCCGGCCAAGAAGUGGUGUCUGGUUCCCUCCUCAUGAGCAGGCUGGCCUUAAUGGCUUGCUUGUACCUAAGAGCCUAAAGCAGAAGUGACUUGCUAGGCUGCUCUGUCAAAGGCCAAGGUCUCCGUGCAUCUGGAUCCAAUGUGAGAAUUCAUGACCCUGAAACCAUCAUGCCAAAGGGUUACACAGAAGGAGGGGUCCCCCAAAUGUCUGCAUCUCCCCCAGACUCUCAGAAGGAUUUGGGGGUGCUUGUUCCAGAACUGAAAGAGUCGGCAGUCGUAAUAAAUGACUGCUGUCUUGCACUGACUGCCCUGUCGGGAGUAAUUUGUUACAAAGCCAAGAACAACCGGAACAGACAAGCCUCAGGAACCCCAGGCCCCGUCCAGUCCCUGUCCCUCUGUUCCUCCACUUGCUUUUCUGAAACAGGAGGACUGAGGGCCAGGUAAAGGUUCUUGCCAGUGUUUGGCAAAAUGAGAAGAAUUUUAAAAGGGGAGUGGGAGAAGUCAGCUGAAUGCACCCCACUGGAGCACGCUUCGUCUCCAAGGCACGCCCUGCCUGUUGUUGGUGUACCUUUUAUGAGAGGAUGGUAACUCUGUGGGAACUGGCUUUUAACUGCCUCACUGGGUCAAAUUUGAGAGUUGGCCAUCCCGUAUCACAAAUGUGUAUAGGAUUUGACCAGUUUGUGACAUCCUGAGUAGCUGUCACUUGGACAUUUGACAGACCAUCAUUCACGAAAUAUCUUCAUUAAAGGAGCCUCUUCUUCCACCCAAGGUACUGAUGAAACCCCACCCCAGCCUAUCAGCUCAGGUGCUUGGCACUGCUUUAAAACAAUUCUAGAUCUCCGAGGAGACUGAGAGGCUACGGCCCCAACAAGAAGCCAGCACCCGACCCACCAAUGCAGGGCAGUGCAUUGCACAGAGACACAGUGAAACCUCAGGGAAAAGGUGUCAGCAGAUGCAGUUUCCAAAAACAGUGUUUUCGGGUCACAGAGCAGAAAUCCGCCAGCCAGAAAGCACUGCAGCUUAAUUCCUAAAAUGGUAAAGAGGCAGAAAGGUUCAGGCUUCAGCCCCUGGCUUGCUAUGUCCCCCUGGUUGCUCUGUAGCCUGGGGCAGCUUUACAGGAGCCACAUCCUAGGAUCUGAAGUAGUGAGCACCCAACACCACUGGGCCAGGGCCAGACAAGCUGACCUUCCUAGUUGGAAGCCAGGAGAGGGGGCAAGUGUCUGUGUCCACAGGACAUCCCACAGGGACACCAAGGAGGGGCUUCCAUGCUGCGCUUCCCACGGUAUUGCCUCCCUAGCUCUGUAGCCAACUGUGGGG